UACAGAGGUCCCAAGCGUUGUCCGGAAUCAUUGGGCGUAAAGAGCGUGUAGGCGGUCCGGUAAGUCCGCUGUGAAAGUCGGGGGGCUCAACCCUCGAAUGCCGGUGGAUACUGUCGGGCUAGAGUGCGGAAGAGGCGAGUGGAAUUCCUGGUGUAGCGGUGAAAUGACGCAGAUAUCAGGAGGAACACUAUUGCGAAGGCAGCUCGCUGGGACGUAACUGACGCUGAGACGCGAAAGCGUGGGGAGCAAACAGG
rnacentral:rRNA from 1 species